UGCAUGAAGAAAGCUAAAACUGCAGAAAAAUAGAGGUUCCUGUUGCUCACAUUCCCUCAGUACUGAAAGUGACAAGUACACAUUAUUUCUGGUCAAAAUAAACCACAAUGUAAUCUAAAUCAAGAAAGGGGUUUCUAUGGAGACUCUUAGACCAGCAUCGAAAGCACUCCUUGACCAGUCCUGGAUAUAAGAAAUGUUUCUGUCAGACAGAUGUGGAGCCUGCUGCAUGAUGUUGUGGGAGAAGUCUUGGGGACACCUUAGGGACAUUUACACCACGAUACAGGGUUUGCGUGGCAAGAUUUGGGCAGCAGAGGAGCAUCAGCAAGAAGCUGCUGGAAGUUUCCCCUGUAAUAAAGAGAAAGUCAGCCAGCUCCAAGACAGACCUGCCGCUGGCCGAGGCUGAGCCCAUCAGCAAUGGCAGUAGUUAAGAGAGGGGAAGAAAUCUGCACCAUGGCAACUUCAGCCAGAGAGAGGAGUGAGAAUGUGUGAGAGAAACUCUGCAGAUACAAAGGUCAGUAAAGAAGGAGGGGGAGGAGGCACUCCAGGCACCAGAGCAGAGAUUCCCCUGCAGCCUGUGAGAAAGAUGAUGAUGAGGCAGCUGGUCCCUGCAGCCCGUGGAGGUUAACAGAGGAGUAGACAUCCACCUGCAGCCCAUGGAGCACCCCAAAUUGUAGCCAGCAACCUCAUUCAAAAGUAAACCAUUUUAUGAUUGUUGAUAAAAAACCCCAACACCGACCUACCUUUUGCUUAUGCUCACAAACAUGCAUAACUUUCAUGCCCAUCACAACUAACUCUUGCUUCGGAAGGAGAGUAAACAAAACCACUGACACUUGUUAAGGUGAUCGCUAAAGUUACUUUAAUAAAAGUGACUUUCAGAUAAACUUAAGGCACUGGUAUUGAUACCAAUGAUGCAACUGAAUGAAAAAUAAAGCAAUAUGAGAUUUUUUUACUUUUUAUUCUUCUUCCUGAAGAGAAGUGGUAUGAAAACAGUUCUUUUGUAUACCAGGCUACGGAUAUGACAUUUAUCAGAUGUAAUACUGUUUCCUCUUACCAUAUGCAAAAUUCCGGACACAAUUGAGGUUCUAAGGACCAGAAUACUAUCUUUAACUCGUGUUUCAGUAGAUGAAUCGAUGUAACUGCACAGUAGCAAAGGCAAACUAUUACUUUAACUACAAGUUGUACCUUUAUUUGGUUCAGUCUUAAAAGUACAUUUUCAUGUGUUUCGUGUUGCACAAACCUAUUAAAAUUGUUUUCCACAGACUAUGUAAGCUGUCCAUUUCACACAAAAAAAUGGGCAAAAGCAACUUAAAUUGGCACUACAUACGCUAGCUACAAGAACAAAAAAAAUGAGUAAUUUGUUGAAGAUUGGCUCAGGAAGUGACAUGCAGAUUAGAAAAACUGUAUUGCAAACAAAGAGGCAUUUUCUAGAUCACAGCAGGAAAAAAACCUCAAUUAAAAAACUAAGUAUAAGCUGGAGUCCAGUAUUAAACAGGAGAAUAAAAAUGAAAGUAUUUGUCUAGCAGGUUCAUACUACAUUUUAGUCAGGACAAGAUCCUCUGAAAGUGAGAAUGCAAUGGCUGAUUGAGGAGGUGGAUAGUUGUGGAUAAAGAAAUCAAUAUAAAACUAGAUAUAGACAAUGAUUGAUAACAAUAUUCAAAUAUUUAGAGACUAUCACACAGCCCAGCUGCAGCCCACGUCAGUCCUUAGACCAGGACCUCUAAUGGGUCCUCACCAAUCGCUCAGUCACAGACCUCAGGUGUACCCAAGGCUCCUCAAGACGUGUUGUCAUGGAGAUCUUUGUGCUAGGAGCAUACAGACUCACAAGUACAGAAGGGAUUCCUCUGUGGGCAAAAUCCUCCUCCAGAUUUCCUAGGUGGCACUUCAGCUGUUGAUAAAAGUUGCUGAGGCCCUAGAAAAGUAAGCAUGUGAACAUUGUGUUUUGAAAUCCCUGCUUCUUUGUUUGCAUUAUAUAUGUAAUUAAGUGUUGUGUUGGACCAGUCCUUAAAUUCCUGAAAACUUGAUAUUGCUAAUGAAACUUCUUUCCCUCUCCCCUUUUACAGUGUUGUUCUUUCAAUGAAAAUCUUUGGAGGCGCAAGAUUUCAGGUAGAGCAGCAUGUAGGGAAGAGACACACACACUCCCCCCCAGCUCUUUAAUCACAGGCUUAGUUUCCUUAUGACAGAAGGAGCCCAGAGGAAAAUAAGGCUUUGUUUGGUAAGUAGCAAAAAGUAGCAUAAGCAUAGUAAGCUCUAGGGAAAAAAGAAACAAUCACGGUCUUGAAUAUUCUGAUAGAACAAUUUGAACUCCCAGCAAUUUUGAUGGAGUUUUCCUUUUGUGUGAAUGAACUCUUAACAUGUGGAGUCUUGUGCAGAGAGUCCUUGACAAUUUUUUGGCUCUCUGGAUAUGUUUACAUUAAGGUAAAAUGUAACUUUUGAGGAAAAGCUUCCGAACACCUGCAGAAAGCUUAAGAACGUACAGUUACUUGCAGACAGGUUCCUCCCACCUGGCUUCCUCCAUACCCCACACACUGCCAGCAGUGCUAACCUAUUUUACCUGCCCAGUUGUAUACAGCGAAUAAAAUGAGCUCUUCUUUUGCAUGAACUGGAAAACUGUUUGCUUUGCAGAGUAGUUAUGCCCACACGGAUGGUCUCCCAGUGCUUCCCCGCAACACUGCUGCCUCAGAAGAGUAGGCUAAUUCGGUGCAAAGAGGAAGCCCCACGGAGCCAGGGGGUGAAGGGAUGCACCAGGGCACAGUGAUACCACGGUGAGCCUCUGGCACAGUCUGCUGUGGACAGCCUGUACCACAACUGCUGGAGCACCCACUGUGCCCUGAGCUUGGUUUCUCCACAUGAUUUUUUUGGUUUUUGGGUUUUUUUCUUUUUCAAAUCCCAAGGGAAAACUAGUAACUCCCAUCUCUUGCUAAUGGAUGCUGUACUGGAAUACAAUAUCUUCCAUCUUCACAUUCUGCUGCCUUUCCCUGGAUGGAAACAAAAGUACAGAAGCGGUCCUUUUUACCACAAACAAAGUAGCUUUUAAAACAAUUUUAAGAGAUCAUAAUUAAAAAACAAUUGAGAAAGAAUUCACCUGUUCUUUAAAGUCUGGGCUAAUAUCAUUGAAAGAAGAUCAGGACACAUCUCUGAAAUUUUUUUAGCAGAAAUACUUCCUAAGACAUUAAAAAAAGUAUAGCCCAAAAUGUCAAAUGUUUGUUGCCAUUAGUUGUUUGGGGUUUGAGGUUUUUUUUUUUAUUUUUUGGUUUUGUUGGGUUUUUUUUUCCAAAGGGCUCUUCUUAUGAUGAAAAUGCACUGAAAGAAUAUCUGCAAUUCCUCCCCCCAUCAGUUUUUCAAUUCCAGUCAGCUUUGUCCCAUACAACAUAAUUACUUCUUGUUGUUCAUAUCACAGUGAUUUUGGCUAACAGAUGUAGGCUUUAAUGUGAGGCCAGCUCAGAUGAAGCUACCAGCAGACAGCACAAUCACAUCUUCAGUUAUCUCAACCCUGACACAGAUUUUCAGGCAUAAAUCAUAGAAUCAUAGAAUAGUUUGGGUUGGAAGGGACCUUAAAGAUCAUCUACUUCCAAUCCCCCUGCCAUGGGCAGGGACACCUCCAACCAGACCAGUGUGCCCAAGGCCCCACCCAACUUGGCCUUGAACACCUCCAGGGACAGGACAUCCAUGACUUCCCUGGGUAACCUGUGCCAGUGCCUCACCUCCAUCAUCACGAAGAAUUUCUUCCUAAUGUCUAAUCUAAAUCUUACCCCCUCCAAUAUAUAGCCAUUUCCCCUUGUCCUAUCAUUACAAGCCUUUUUAAAAAGUCCCUCCCCAGCUUUCUUACAGCCCCUUUAGGUACUGUAAGGUCUCUAUUAAGGUGUCCUCAGAACCUUUUCUUCUCCAGGCUGAACAACUCCAACUCUCUCAGCCUGUCCUCGUACAGGAGGUGCUCCAGCCCUCUGAUCAUCUUUGUAGCCCUCCUCUGGACCCAUUCCAAGAGCUCCAUAUUGUUCUUAUGUUGGAGAUUCCAGAACUGGACACAAUUCUCCAGAUGGGGUCUCACAAGAGCGGAAUAGAGGGGGACAAUCACCUCCCUCAACCUGCAAGCCACACUUGUUUGGAUGCAGCCCAGGAUACGGUUGGCCUUCUGGGCAAUGAGUGCACAUAGCUGACUUGUCAAGCUUCUCAUCAAUAAGCACCUCCAAGUCCUUCUCUGCAGGGCUGCUCUCAAUCACAUCAUCCCCAUCUUGAAUUGAAACCGCAGAUUGUCCCAAUCCAGGUGUAGGACCUUGCACUUGGCCUUGUUGAACCUCAUGAGGUUUACACAGCCCCACUUCUCCAGCUUGUCCAGGCUCCCUGGAUGACAUCCUGUCCUUCCAGUGUGACAACUGCACCACUGAGCUUGGUGUCAUUUGCAGUAGUCCCUUCAGCUCAUGUGAAUUUCUUGAUUUAUAGUGAAUUCCAAGUUAAGAGCAUAACCGAAGGUGAGCCACCAGUCACUCAUAUAAUGAUUGACAAAUCACACACUGUUCCUUCUUUAUCCCCUCACCUCUUAAACUAAGAUUAGUAGUAAAAUGACAUUCAGAAAGUCAUUUAAUUGGUUGACGGACAACCACUAAAUAGAAGUUUGUGUCACUGUUCAGUGAUGGCUUUCAGAAAGCAGGGGAAACCCUCUUGAGGCUGACUCUUCCCCUGCAAGUUACUAUUUGUAGCCAGCCUUCCAAGUGGUCUUGCAAGCCUGCUAUUAAAUGUUGUGAAAGACAAGCAGUGCUAAGCAACAGAGAGGACAACACACAUGGAGCCAGCCCCCAGGCUGGAACAGACUUCAAACUAUGAACUCAACCUUUCCAGCUUUCGAGGAGCUCUGAAUUUCCUCGUACAAAGAUUAGUAACCAAGCAUUCUUCUUAAAAGGGCUUAAAGCUAGCAAAGCUCAGUCUCAAAGGUCUUUGAUACCAAAACAGAGCUUUCCUCCCCAUCCACAGCUGUGCAUGCAAAAGAUAAUAAAUUAAAUUAGCUAUUGUUUCUCCAACUGUUUGUUGGGACUGAGUGCAUUUUUGAAAAAAAAAAAUCUGGAAUUUAACAAUGAAGCAAAACCAGUCCCAUUUUAAUAUUUGUAUGCAUAAACUGAAAGCAAGAAUUCACUUCCAUUUGUGCAUUGUUCCCUCCCUGCUCCCAUACCAAUUAGUGAAUAUACAUCAACAAGCUGAACGAUCUGUUUUUCAAGGCUCUGGAUUUUUGGCUUAGUGCUGAUAUGCUUGGCACCAAUCAUACUAAUUUAGAAGUUAUUUGGAUGUUUUAGCUUACCAUUAUUCCAUUAUUUUUUUAAAGUGAAAUCCCAAACAAUUAUUAAUGCUCCAAGGAAUGGCUCAAUUGCUUUAAAAAUCCAACCAAAUAAUACAAGUAACAAGUGAGGAAAUGGUCUCAAGUUGCGCCAGGGGAGGUUCAGACUAGAUAUCAGGAAAAACUUUUUCACUGAAAGGGUUAUUGGGCGCUGGAAAAGGCUGCCCAGGGUUGUGGUUGACUCGUCAUCCCUGGAGGUGUUUAAAUGAUGGGUAGAUGAGGUGCUGAGGGAUAUGGUUUAGUAACAGACAGGUACAAUUGGACUCAGUGAUCUCAAAAGUCUACGAUUGCAAGAACAGUAAGACUGUUGCACUGUGAAGGGAAAAGCUCACAAUGCCCUUGCCUGGGCUUGUUUUCCCACCAAGAAAGUGCAGACUGAAUCUGUUGAAGUGGAUGGUUCAUUCCUUAUCACUGGGCUCUCUGCUACUGCUGGGACAGAGGACUUGGAAAGUUCAAAGAAGGAAACAUCAGCUCUGAUAUUUCAAGUCAAAGACCCCAGACACCCAGCAAAUUACUACUACAAGUCAAAGGGCUGUCCUAGGGGACAGAAGCACAGGAAGAAAAACACUGUGAAAAGGUUCUUUAGUAAGGACAAAUAGCAAGGUGGCCAAAAGCUGCAGAAAAUUAUGUUGGUGGGGCUAGUGUUCACUGCUCCACAGCAAAAAUUCCCUGAAGAAGAAGGGCUGCAAAGAAGAUGAACUCUUCUCUGAAUUUGUGGGAGGAUAGAGGAUAGCCCCUUCCCCAGGGGGCUGGAGCCAUAUUUCCCCAUCCCAUCUCCAGGAAGAUCCCACAUCUCACACAAACCUUAGAUAUAUCUCCCAGUCCACUUUUCUCUUGCUGGGAUACAAUCAGUUCUUUACUUAUAUUCUUGGCAGGAAGACUUGCUUCAUAAACAAGUAUUUAAAAAGAAGAAGCAGAUGCUCUCCUCCUUCAGCACGUAACAACAGCAAAUAGCAUAAUCAGGGGCUGAUUAUGAGACUGAUUUGAGCUCUAUAAUUCAAGACAUGAAGCAGGUAAUAGCAUGUACUGCACACCAUGUGCCAUGGCUUGCGUGCUGAUCAUUCCAUGCCAUAACCUCAGCUCCUGCAAGGCAAGGCUUUUUCAACAGCACGUUUUAUUUCUGCGAAAGUUUUCUUAAGGCUGUGAGGGAUGGAAUAAAGUCCUUAUUCUGCCUGCAACCAAAUGUGUGUUCUGAACAUGUAAUACACAGGCUGAGAUCAGAAACCCAGGAGAAGCAGGCAAUUUUCAGGAUUCAUUGUGAAAAUGUCAGCAACUGCACAGUCUGUUCCAAUGGUAAUAAGCUCAAAUAGGGUGUUUAAACAUAGCAAACAUAGCUAUUUAAUCACCAAAAUGAUAACCCUCGUUAUAUAAACAGUAGCACGAGUUACACUAUGGCAGGAGCAGAAAGGGUAUCAAAAAAGGAAGAUAACCAAGGUGUACUUUAAACACUGUUCUGAGCAAAGAUAUGCAAAAGACAAGGUGCAGUUUCAAUGGGAAGUAUCUGAGGUUGCUGAAUAGAAAUGGACAAUGAAACAAUAAACAAUAAAAAUAUAACCAGAGCACAACACAGCCCUACCACUAUAAAUCAAGCAGGGGUAAAGAGACAUAACAUUUUUGAACCUUGUCAAGUCACAUUUAACAGCCAGCUCAUCCUUGGAGUGCCAUCAUCGUGCCUGCACAGCCCAGAAAGAGGGACCUGCAUGAAAUGCACAGAAGCUGCUGUAAGAAGCAGAAAUUCAUUGCUUGCAACCAAGCAGAGAGGCUGAGUGGUGGUAAACUUACUGAGCAAGUUGAGAGUUAUGCAAAGAUAAAUAAAUGAUACUCAGAAAGAGAAGUCUGGGAGUUUUGUUAUAGUUUUAAGGACCCAUUCCACUGAGCUUUAGCUUCAUUCUUAAUUUUAUAGUUGCAAAGGAUUUUAACAAGGUCAUAUGUCCUUUAGCAUCUCAACUUUUCUCCCAUCAUAGCAGGAUCAUCAUGUAAUCUAUGUCUCUGACUUGUGUUCUGGUUUCAUUUCUGCUUGUCUCUUCCACCAAAGCCUGAUAAUAUUCAGGCCAUCUCUUACAUUUAUUGCUUCUUUCUGAGCAAGUCCAAAAGCAUGUCCACAUCCUACCACACUUUCAGCUCUUGCAUAUUCUUUACUGCUACUGCCUCCUCCUCUCUGCCAACUAGAAAUAAUGCCAUCCUUUCUUUUAACGUUAUGACCAGCACAAGCAUAAAAAUUAAUAAAUGUAUACUGCUAAGACUAUUUUCACUAUACUUCCUUUGUGACCCCUUCAACUCAUCCCCCUCAUUUUACCUUCUACCACAUUGAACACCAGCUCUUCUGUCCUAUCUCUCACAAAUACCUCAGGAUAAAAUUCCUGUCACAUCAUCUCAUUUAGAGAAGGUUUGUUACUGUCACUUCAUCACUAGGAGCGUCCUCAGUCACCUGAAGCUCCGUUUCUCCCUCAAGCCAAUGUUUACCCACUCCCACUUCUCCCCGUUUUAUCAGCAAAAUCCCUUUCAGCAUGCACAUAAGCGGUUUCACCCACCAUCUCAAUGCUCAAACUAUCCAGAAGGGACAACCUGAGGAAGGAUAAUCAUGCAGUGAGCUGGUGCUUCCAUUCCCACAAAAGGAAAAGAGGGCUCACGCUGCCCCUCUUCCUACUUUCUUUUGCUUCACACAUCAUGCUUACUUGAUUUUCUAUGCAUAAUACUGCACAGUGAGACCUCUGCUAUGACUGACUUCAAGCAAACACCAUCAAGUGAAAAAACUAUUAGUAGAACAUAUCUAGUAAUGAGAAGUAAGAAAAGAAUUUCUCUCGCCUUUUACAUCAUCUUGCUACCUUGAUCUAAUUCAUAUUAAGAGUUUGUAUUUCUUUCACCAGUGUUUGAGAAAGACUUCAAAAUUUGGAAUCACAUAUGCUCACGUAUAUACACAUAAAGUCCCUGAAUGUUUAGUCUUUCUUA